AGGGAAAUAGCUCAGGGCCAGAGCGCAUGCUUAGCGUGCAUGAGGUCCUGGGUUCAAUCUCUGGUACCUCCA
rnacentral:tRNA from 1 species